GGAGACUGCGGCUCCGGGGAGGUUUCGGGUCCCCGCGACACCCCGCCGUGUCCUCCGCACCCAGGUCUGCACCACGCGGUUUCCCACCGUGCAGGACCUGGAGCAGCGACAGGGAACCGGCACUUGGCACUUCUGGCUUCGGCUCCUCCGCCCAAUUAACCUGCCUCAGUAGCGCCCCUUCCCAGCUUCCGUUAUGUUACUCCUCUAUACACCCCUCCACUGCCUCAUCAACGGCCAAUAACCUCCUCCAACCGCUAUUUCCGGGUGAGUGUCCCCGCCUCUGUGAGCCCGGUCCCUCCCACUCGGUCUCAGGCUGCCUUCCACCCAGCUCCAGCUGUCAGGCUGCCCUGGACCCGCUCUGCACAGCCUCCCCACAUGCUCGCUGCCAGCCUGGACCAGGACUGCAUCUAGGAGGACGCUGCACCCCGAUAUCUGACCCCUACAGUGAGUUCCGAGCCCUUCAGAUGAAACACAGGCCGCCGAACCUCGACUUGACUACAUGACUCCUGGGCUUCAAUUUACAGAAAAUAUAACCCGCUAAAUGCAGAUGCCAGCGUCCCAUCGCCAACACAAACAUGACAAGCCAAAACCAAAUACUGCAAUAGAGCCUUGGGGAGAGACCUUUCAGGAACUUGGAUUUUGAAAAGAAUUAGGUGUCUCAAGAAAUCAGUGAUUAGUCCAUUGCUAACAGCCCAGGGCUAAGUACAUCCCGCGCUGUACUGCUCUCCCUACUAGAUAGUAGCCUUGCCAUUUUAUUAACUCAGAAACAAGUUUGUCUUCUGUAACUCACGCUAAAGGUGCUUUGAGAUACAACUGAAAAAAUUUCUUUGGCGGAAAAAUGUAAUGCUGAUUGCACAGACUGUUAGCUGUUCUUGUUGAAGAAAAUAAGGUUUGUGGUCCCAGUCCUAAAAAUGUCAGUUACACCGUCCCAUCUGUGGCUCUGGGAGUGUUGAGUAUGAAGAGGUGGAAAAUAAAUAAGAAGAGAAAGAGGAGGAAGGGCUAAGACAUGCCCUUCUCUAGACUCCACACAGCUGUUGUAAUCAGUAACCAACAGCAGCUGUACUGACCUGCAUGGACCUCACACUAGACCACAAUCAGUCUAGGAAAGGGAAAGGCUCACAGGGCACACCCUUUACCUCUCAAAUGUUGGCAAUAGAUGCAUUGUAGAAGAAUCACUGCCUUUAGCUGCAGUCCUCUGCUGAGCCAACCAGUUUCUGACACAUAUCUGUAAACCCACAGUCUCACAGAUGGCCCUGGUUAAUCUCAGUGGGGCCCAAAGCAAACUGAAUGGAGAUGAACACAACAGAGAUUUGUUGGAAUUGUGAACCAGGAUAGUAGGGAGGUAGGAGGUGAGAGUGGGCAGUGUUUGAGACACACACACACAGAACUAAUAAUAUUUUUUUUUAAAUGACCAGCUCAGUCUGUAAUUUCUUUUUGGUUGUAUCAGUGCCUGGUUUAAUAUCAGGUAAUACUAAGAUCAGGAAGUCUUCCUUUAUGUGUCAAGAAGUAUUUUAAGUAGCUUUGCUGUUCUUCUUUGUAGUUCUGAUGGAAUCCUGUCAAUCUGGUCAUGAGGUUGUCUUAAGGGGGCAUUUUAUUCCUGCUUCAGUCUCAUGGCUACUUGUACUUCUGUUUACAUUAUUUAUAUCAUGUUGUUGACAUUUGGUAGGUAUGUUGUAUGCACCUGGAAACUCAUCUAUUUCCAUUAGAAAUAGUUUCCAUUAGUUUCCAACUCAGUAGAAUAGAAGUCUUAAUGUUAGUAGACAUAAGAUCCACUUUUUUUUUUUUUUUUGUCGGAGCUGAGGACCGAACCCAGGGCUUUGUGCUUGCUAGGCAAAUGCUCUACCACUGAGCUAAAUCCCCAACUCCAAGAUCCACUUUUUAACUCAUUUCAAGUAGGCUGUGCAGUUAACUUGGUAAUUGUUAUCACAUGGGUAACAAAAAGUUAUGAUGUUCAUAAAAAAGUUAUGAAAUGGAUAACAACAAGUUAUAUAUAGUUGGGCAAGGUCAUGCAAGCCUUUGAACCCCAGCACACAGGAGGCAGGGGCAAGGGGAACUCUGAAUUCAGUGGCAGCCUGGUGUGCAUAUUGAGUCUAGGACAGCUGGCAAUACACAGAGAGACCCUGUCUUAAAAUAAAGUCAAGUCCUUCCCGAGAAAUAGCUUUCAUGGCACCAGAAGCACCAUAUAAACUCCCAGAGGAGGGAGCUAAACAACAGUCCUAACCAGCUAUGAUGCCUAUGAACCACAUCAAUGAUCAUCCUGGCACAACUGCCCUAAGGGUGCAGCAGUGGCAAGCAUAACUUCGUGGUAAGAAACAGCUCUCUAGUUGGAUGACUGGUGCUGGUGAAGUGGUGAAUCUUGGAGGAGAACCUGCAACCACCACUUUAUUAAACCAGCGUAAUCCCUAACAAGAAUCUAAAUAUUUUUCCCUGUGACCACAAAUAAGCAUAGUCUUCACCCCUCAUCAGGAACCUUCUCUUUGCAACAGACAGAGGCCACUACAAAAACAAACAAACAAACAAACAAACAAACAAACAAACAAAAAAACCUCACAACUAAUCAAAUGCAGAGUUGUGGACGCCACUCAUUGGAUUACAUCUACAAAACACUCCUGUAACUAAGGCUAAAGGAAUAUUUUUGAAGAGGGGGUAGAAAGAUUGUAAGAGCCAGAAGAUCAAGGAGUUUGCUGUGGAGUUGUGUUUCCUAGUAAGACCAGAAUCAACACCCAUAAAAUCUUUCCAACAUGACUGCCCAACGGGAACUGAUCAAGGACAACAACAAUGGACAUGCCAAAGUGGAUGGGGGAAGCCCACAAGCCCUCAACCACACACAGGGAACUACAGGCAACUGGGGAAUGCUGGGAGCAGGAGAAAUGGUGUCUCUCAGAGAAGGGCAAACCAACUGAUUAUCUAAUACCAAAUGGGCCUUCCUCCAAGAUGAAAGAGUUGAAUCUCAGAGGAAGCUUAUACAUAGUAACCACUCCUUUUUGUUUUGUGUUCAAGUAGUAUACUACACAAGAAGCCAGGAAGCAGGAAGAGAGGGUGGUCAACGAGCAACGACUAAAUCAGAGCUCUCAGUAGUCAACAAUUUUCAUUCAUGAUACUUGGAUUCUCAGAGAAACAGAAUGAAAUUCCUCAAGGUUGAUCAAACAAUUAAUUGUGGAAUCAGUAAUUAGCUUUUAUUCAGCAAGAAAGGGUACAGUUCAGAAGACCCAAUUCCUUUUAAGAUUAAAGACUUACUUAAAAGAAAUCAAAGGGUUUAUUUUUGUUUUCAGAUACCAUAAAGUUUUUUUCUACUAACAAGCUUUCCCUAGUCUCCUGUUGUUUCCAAGACAGCUAAUCAGAGCUUAUUUUAUAGUGUAAAGAGUCAGAACAAACAAAAGAUGGGUUAGGAAUUCUACAAGCAAAAUGUUCUCACCCACGGAGACCAGGUUGCUGUAAUUCUCCAACAUCACAUCAAUGUACAAAGCCCUCUGAGCAGAGUCCAGGCAUUCCCACUCCUCCUGGGAGAAGUCCACAGUCACAUCCUUGAAUGUCAACAGACCCUGAAAUUAAAAAAACAGUUUAACUGGGUGUGGUGGUGCAUGCUUUUAAUCCCAGCAUUCAAGAAGCAGAGGCAGGCAGAUCUCUGUGAGUUGGAGGCCAGCCUGGUCUACAAAGUGGAUUGCAGGACAGCUAGGGCUGUUACACAGAGAAACCCUGUCCCCAAAAGAAAAUAAACAAACAAAAAAGUACAGAUGACCAAGUGGUACCAGACAGAGUACUUUUCUAGAUAUAAGGAAACUUAAGGAAAUUAGUGAUGUAAAUGAGCGCAAACAAUUAUUCAAAAGGAUGAUCUUUCACAUAGUCACAUUCUGUAAUGGAUUUUCUAACUCUGUGAAAACAGGAUGAAACAAUAGUCUUACAAGCAGUAUAUAAGAAACAAGAAAUAUAUUUAAGGUCUGGACAUGGUUAUCUAUCUGUUAUGGAUGCUGUGUUUAUGUCACAUAGGAUCACAGCAGACAUGUCUUAGGGGGAAAAUUCAUGAUGACAAAAUGUGUUUUAAAUGCUGUACCUGUAGAUCAUGCUAAAACACUGACACAUAUCAAUCCUGUAUGUACUUGGGUCUUACAUGACUAUUCUAACAGGCUCAGUUGGGAUGUUUAAACUCUAGGUACAAUGCCACACCAUUAAAUAGCAAAUGGGUAGGUAUGGUAGGCAGACAUUAUAACUGACAUUAUAGGUAGAAGUUUUGGACUUUUUUCCUCAGUAACAAGGAGCAUAACAACACUGCAUGCUGCCGAAAUUAAUAUAUGAGAUAGAUAGUUCAUGUAAUUAAUUUUAUGAGGCUAUUUGGGCCACUACCAAGCAGAUAGAAAAAUCUGCAUCAGCCACAUUGAUAUAAUCUAAAAUUUAACUAAAAUAUAGGAAUAAGGCGAAUUAGACAAAUAACAAUGUCAGAAGUUUUCAAUAAUAUUUCACCCCCCAAGAGUUGUAAAAAUUUAUGGAAGUCCAAAAACAUACCAAAUAAUGUUUAAGUUGCAAGUAAGCAUGUAUAUGUAAGUGUAGUAACUGUGGAUCCAUUCAGAAGUGACAGAAAUUUCCUGUGAGUAAAUGGAUAUAUUAAAGUGUGUGGGAAUUAUAGCCACCUUUCAGUGCUUUGCAAAUAUGAAAGAGCACAGAAGGAUGGCUCAGGAGAAAAUCUGAGCUACUGUGUCUGAAUGUGUAGUCCUCAAUGUGUUCCUUUUUACUACUUAUGCUGUAUUGUCUAACAGAUUUUAGGUCAGUAGUGUUUAUGAUUCUUCCUUUAUUUGUCUGGAAAUGGAAAGUGGUGACAUAUUCUGUCUGAGCCAUGAGGCAGGGAUAGAAAUUCAAACCUGGCUGUCAGAGCCUAUUCCUCAAAUCUCCACUUUAAAACACUGCAGCUUCAGGGUAUAGGAGUAGAGUCACGACUCUCACAGGGACUGACUAGAGCAAGGCAAUCAUGAGGAAUGUUCAUUCUGCAUGAAAUGUGAUGGUUUAUGCACAUCUAUAAGACAAUGCCCCCAAGACAUUCAUGAUGCAUUCAACAUAGUGCUACGUAAAGUUUCCCAGUCAGAAAGGGCUGCACAGUGGGAUCCUGUUUGGGACAGUGAGAUGGGCCUGGGCCAUGGAUAACACACUGAUAUCUACUGCUUGGGAAGUUACCACUGAGCAUCCUAACCAAGGGAGUGAUGUGAGCAGCAAUUCUUCUGAGACAAAUAGAUAUCAGGUGUCAACAAACACAUGGACGAAUCAACAAUGCUGUGAUAGGAAACACCAAAGAGAAAUACAAGUAGACUACAAGCUGAUAUUACGCUCUAGAACACCAAUUUCAUGGCAUGAUCAAGACACAUAUGCUAGCCAUGUUCCACACUUUCUAGUGUGCUUAACCAAGUGUUAUUUAGUAUUAAGAACCAAGAUUUUUUGCCUACUUUGCUAUCUAUUAAGUGGACAUAACUUACUGUUUUUCUUUCUGGAUUCUCUAUCCAAUUCUGUUAUCUUCCUGUAUAUCUAUCCUCCUGUCUCUCUUAAUUACACACAUUUCUAAGAUGUUGCAGCAACCAGUCCUUGCAUUUCAGAGUGCAUUUUUUAUAAGCACGAUUCAAGGACAUUGCACAGAUUCCAUAAAUGGAGCCUAUAUACUACAUGAGGCCUCACUCAACAAGAUAUAAGGAUAUAGUACAUUCGUUGUAGCAACUGGGCUUCAAUUUUAUUUUUCCCUUGAGACAGAAUUUGGAUAUCCUGGAACUAGCUCUGUAGAAGAGGCUAGCCUUGAAUUCAUAGAGAUCUGCCUGCUUCUGCUUACAAAGUGCUGGCAUUAAAGGUGUGAAGCAUGACCACCAGGCCCCAACAUUUUUUGUUGUUGUUCAUGUGUCACAGAGGAAAUAUUUUCAAAAUUACAGGUCAUAAGUAAAUAUGGGAUGUGUACCCUCAAAACAAAACAAAAUGGGGGGGAGGGGCUGAUAUCUACCAUUUACUGAGAUUUAUACAAAUUAAUUACCAAGGAAAUAAAACUGCUAUUCAAGAAAUGGGUAAAUGAUCUGAAUAGAACUUUGUGAAGAGAGAAAUACAAUGGCCAAUAAAUGUUGCAAAGAGUGUUCAGGAUCCCUAAAAUGCCAUCAUGGAAAAACAAACUAAAUCUACUUUGAAAUACUGCCUCACCCCAGGCAGAGCAUGGCUGUCAUCAACCAAUCUGACAAUAAAUGAUAGAGAUGAUGUGGAGAGAAAAGAACCAUCAUUAACUGUUGGUGUGUGUGUGAGAGUGUAAAUUAAUACAGCCAUUGUGGGAACCAGUUUGGAGGUUAUUGAAAAAAUGAAGAUAGAACUAUUAUAAGACUCAGCAAUGUUGCUCCUAGGGACAUACCCCACUGUAGGAAUAUUUACACCCCAUGUUUAUAGCUGCCGUAUUCAACAUAGCAAAGUAUUGGAAUGAACCUAAUUGUCUAUCAACAGAUGAAUGGAUAAUAAAAAGUGCUAUACAUAUAAAAUAGAAUAUUAUCCAGCUGAAGAGAAAUGUGUAAUAAAAAUCUGCAGGAAAAUAGAUGACUCAAAAUAUAUAAUAUUAAGUGCAGUCAUACAGUAUCAGAGAGAAGAAAUCACAUUUUCCCUCAUAUGAAUAACUUUGCUAUUAAAAUAUAUGGGAAACAACAUACAUGUGGGCAUAGCAGAAUCUGGAAAAAAGAGAACAAGAAAGGUUAACAAUUAUCAGGGCUUGAGGUAGGACUGAAUGCAGGUAAUGAACACCAGUUAUGAAAAAGGAUAUAAAGGGUAUUGCUUUUCUUCUAAUACUGUCAUAGGCUUUUUGGUUUUGUUGGUGGAUGACUACAUCAAAAUAUAUUCAAUUGUGAAAACAUAAAAUUAAAUGUGAGACUCCAGAGCUGAAUUCAAGGCCAGCCUAGUUUACAAGGUGACUUAUAGGACAGCCAGAGAUACACUGAAAAACUCUGUUUUCAAAACAAAACAAA